GGGGCUUGCGUAUCACCCGGAAGGGGAGGAACCAGGUUUCCGUCAGAGGAGGAAAGAGCAGACCUCCCAGAGACGUCCACCAAACGAGGCAUAACACGCUCCAAUAAGACCAGGCGCACACAUUCCGUCAAGGCAGGACGAGACAGAGCGAAAGGGUCCCACCAGUAAGAAAAAGAGUCAGGAGUUGUUAGAAUGGGGUAGCUUGGUGUUCUUGAAGGGUCCAGUUCUUAUUUGCGGCUUCUUUUUAUGGGGUUAAAGAGGAGUGGUUUCAUCACAAGUGCUGCAGUGGGGUGGUCUUCUGUCCUGACUGAUAGAUUAGGCUAUAUUAUCAUUUUCCUUAUAUACCUGACCCUUCCCAUAAUGCCCUGACUUUAAUCAUGUGCACAUCCCACGGCACACAGGAAGAAGAUGGUAAAUAGGGCAUUCCCCCUCAGAGCUCACUUGAAGACAUAUACUCCCCAGACUGACUCAGACUAGAUCAACCUUUCUGUCUUUAAACAGGACACACUGGGGAUACAGUUGAACAGAUAGGAACCAUCUAAAUUUGACUAUCCCCAGGAGCUGAGACGUCUGUUGUUCAGAGAGGGAGGUGUACCCGUGGAGCUCUGAGGGUGUCCUGCAGUUGCUAAAUGCAUUGUUUGGAGAGGGCCCUAUGUGAACAGUACCCACUGGUAAAGGAACUAAGCUGCCAGGUGUGUUAAAGCAAGAGGGAGGGGGCUGAGUAAUCCAAAUCAAAUCCCAUUACUAAAUGAUUUCCCAUGUUUGCCUGGCUCGCCUGGAUUCAGUCAGGGUUGGAGACCAAAUGGUUCCUAAGAUUUAUUUUUAAAAAAAUUGGUGUGUGUGUGUGUGUGUGUGUGUGUGUGUGUGUGUGUGUGUGUGUGUCCGGCCCAGAUACUAUAUCAGGUCCCCCGGAGGUGUAGUUAUAAGCGGUUGUGAGUCACUUGACCUGGAUGCUAAAAUUGAACUCGGAUCCUCUGCAAAAGCAGUACGUGCUCUUAACCACAGAGCCAGCUUUCCAGUUCUGAAGGCAACCUUUUGAUCCUCCUGCCUCUGCUUCCUGAGUGCUUGAAACUGUCCAUCACCGGGCCUUUGACUCAUGUCUGUCAUUUUAAAUGUUACUACGCCAGUGCUUGCCUAGUAUGCACGGAGUCCUGCUUUCAGUUUCCACCACCACACAAAUCAGGCACCAUAGGUUGUAGAACCAUGUACUUGGGAGGUAGAGAAGCAGGAGAAUCAGGAGCUCAGUUUCAUUCUCAAAUACGUAGUGAGUUCUAGGUUUGUGUGGCCUAUCUCGAAAACCUGUCUCAAAAACCAAACGAUAAAGACAACAACAAUAACCAACGGGGAAAAACCCUGCCCCAGUUAACUUUUUUAGAGUGUUUUGUGUCAUGUAUACAUGCAUACCAUAUGCAUGCUGUACCCAUGGAGGACCGGAAAAGGGUAUGGGAACCCUAAGAAAUGGAGUUACAGAUGGUUGUGAGCCACCAUGCGGAUGCUGGGUCACAAACCAGGGUCCUCUGCAGGAGGAGUAAGUGCUUUAACUUCUGAGCCAUCCAUUUCGAUUCUUAUCUGCACUGUUCCAAACCCAAAAGCAAGCUAGCACUGAGCAAAACAAAGGGCUUCCCAGUCAACCGGCUCCAUUAGACUGCCCAUUUUGAUUACGGCAGUAUAUCACUGUGCUUUCCAAGCGGAGCCUCAAAAUAUUUCUCCAAAUAUUCCUCCUAGGAAAAAGAGAAUUGUCCUUGUGUGGCUAUGUGUGCAAUUGUACAUGUCUGUGACUACACAUUUCUACAUCUCAGGCAUUUCCUUGAAUGAAUACAUAUGUAUGUACAUGUAUACAGCAUAUACAUAUAUAUUAUUUCCACACUGUAAAUGUGUACCUAUGUACAUAUGGAACAUAUUAGGAUACUCGGAAGGUGUCAACACUGUUUAUCUGGGUGGAAGUGGGAGUUGGUUUUCUGGAAGCUUUUCUUCCUUCCUUCUUUCUCUCUCCUCCCUCAGGGUUGUGCUAUCCCGACACUCAUUAUGUAGUCCUGAGCAGUUUCUAACAAUUCUAACUCUCCUGACUUAGAAGUUUCCUGCCUUACCCUCCGAAACAUGGGGAUUGCAGACGUGGGCUCUUUUUUUCUAUAGUUUACUACAACUUGAAUGUGAUAGAGAUCACUAUAAUUAAUCUCACACAUGUUGACGCUGUGCCUUGAUCAUGUCCACCCCCACUUCUCUGUGAGGUUACCUUCUGUCCUCUGCUCUCUUCCUUACACCUUCCCAGUCCCUAAAUAACCUUUUUCUUUUUUUUCCUUUUUCUUUUCUUCGGAGCUGGGGACCGAACCCAGGGCCUUGCGCUUGCUAGGCAAGCGCUCUACCACUGAGCUAAAUCCCCAACCCCACUAAAUAACCUUCUUAAUUGCCUCCCAUUCUCCUUUCCCCAUCCCUAGUGACCAUCACUGCAAGGAUUUUCUUUUAAAGAUUUAUUUAGUAUAUACAGCAUUCUGCCUGCACAUACGCCUCCAUGCCAGAAGAGGGCAUCAGAUCCCAUUACAGAUGGUUAUGAGUCACCCAUGUUGUUGCUGGGAAUUGAACUCAGGACCUCUUGAAGAACAGCCAGUGCUCUUAACUUCUGAGCCAUCUCUCCUGCCCAAGAAUUUUGUUUGUUUGUUUUUUUUUAGAUAAAUGUCUCACUCUGUAGCCCAGCUGGUCUGUAACUCAUUAUGUAGGGCAGGUUAGCCUCAAAGUUACAAUUCUCCUGUCUCGGCUCCUAAGUGCUGCUAUUACAGACAUGUGCCUAUUCUGUACUUUUACACGAUUCCAGUUUUCAUAACUGAGAAAAACUGGUAGUGUUUUCCCAUGCCUGGCUUGUGUCUCUUGAAUAAAAUCUGAGGACACUCUUUUUCAAUUUGUUCUUUUGCGGAACCCAGUUUCACAGGACCUGCAGGGGACAUCCUAUGCCUAGGAAAAGGAAGACACAGGGCUGGCUUAAGAUCUCAGCUUUGAGGCCUGCACAGGGAGUCAAGGGACUAAGCUUAAAUGAGGUGUGAGGCUCCUGGCCCGUGGAGCAUUGGGCUCUGGCUGUCGGAGGAUGUAAUAUUCCAGAAAGGACUGAAAUGAACAGGAAAGCAAGUGACUCAGCUUCUGAAAGUCCCCGACCCUGGGGAGGGGUCCAUUUCACUCCCCAUGCUUCUCCAAAUCUGAUCAUGCCCAGAGGGUCUUGGAUCAGACCCAGGGGCAGAGCUUGGCUCUGAAGGUCCUGAGUGGGUGGAACAUUGCUGGAGUUCCAGGAGCGCUGGGACACGAGGAAGGGGGAAACCUUGAGCAAUAGCACAGCCCCCCUUCCCUGUCUCCAUCCCUCUGGAACCUGAAGUCCUGUCAUGGCCAGAGUUUGUUUCCUAAUUUCUUCUUCCUUCUGAAUUUGUUAUCUAAGCUACUCAGACCCCCUGAGGUGCUUGGGAUUGGUAUGAGCUUGGUUGGGAUAAAUUCAGAAAACGGAGCCCCUGGGAACAAAGCAGAAAGGACCGGUGCAGCUAGCAAGGUGUUGUUCUGAGAGAGGCAGGGGAAGCCAUGAUGGAGGGAGCUUUGAAAAUGAGUGAGUGGAGCUCCGGAAAGACAGACGGUCUAGGGAGGUUGAGCAGCAAGCACAAAGACUCAGAGACACAAAGGAAUUGUAGUUCUCCCAACAUGGGUAUCCCAUGGCAACCAGGUUGGAGGCCAGGAUGGCUCAUGUUUUCUUCCCACUGGAGCCAAAGCAAAGAGUCCAAGGUCCUAGGCACAGAAAUGGUCUUCCCACCCCAACUAGACAUCAAUCACAGCCCUCUGGCCCUCAGUUCAAGUACUACUGAACAGGCCCACGUGGGCUUCAGCCCUGGCUCGCUGCUUCCGGCUUUUGUGGAUUUGAGAGGUCGCGCCCCUUCACCAUCCCAUAAUUUCCUUAUAAGUAAAAUGGCAGGAAUGAUACCUACCUCAUGGGUUAUUUGAGGACGCAAUGAUAUAACGCAGAUGAAGGCCUGGACUUGGAGACUGUUAUAUGCUCACCGCGUGAAAGUAGUGGUUAGACCUUCAGAUCUGGCCCCACCCUACUGUUCUCUGUUUUCGUCUUGGGAUGGACCAACUCAUAAAUGCAGUAGACCUGCCCCACUAGAA